rnacentral:rRNA from 1 species
AUUGAACGCUGGCGGCAUGCCUUACACAUGCAAGUCGAACGGUAACGGGUCCUCGGAUGCUGACGAGUGGUGAACGGGUGAGUAAUACAUCGGAACGUGCCUAGUAGUGGGGGGUAACUACUCGAAAGAGUGGCUAAUACCGCAUGAGAUCUACGGAUGAAAGCAGGGGUUCGCAAGACCUUGUGCUACUAGAGCGGCCGAUGGCAGAUUAGGUAGUUGGUGGGAUAAAAGCUUACCAAGCCGACGAUCUGUAGCUGGUCUGAGAGGACGAUCAGCCACACUGGGACUGAGACACGGCCCAGACUCCUACGGGAGGCAGCAGUGGGGAAUUUUGGACAAUGGGCGCAAGCCUGAUCCAGCAAUGCCGCGUGCAGGAUGAAGGCCUUCGGGUUGUAAACUGCUUUUGUACGGAACGAAAAGCCCCGGGUUAAUACCCUGGGGUCAUGACGGUACCGUAAGAAUAAGCACCGGCUAACUACGUGCCAGCAGCCGCGGUAA